GGAAACUGGGGUUGACAAGUAAAACAGGUUUCUUCUAAUUUAUAUAAAACAAUAAAAAUGUCUAUGAAAUCUUUGCUACACAGAAAUUCUCAAAAUCAAUUCUGUUUUAUUAACAAAGGUUUUUUUUUAUAUAUAGAUUCCUAUUGUUUUGAAAAACCUGAAGUUUAACAUUGCUCAAAAAGCAGCAUAAAACAAACUAACACACAGAAAAUCCAGCUUUUUUCAUAUAAAUAGAAUGCAAAAGCCAAGAAGACUGCAUUUAAAAUUGAUGAAGGACCAAGGCUUGCUAACACACAUUACAGAAUUCUCUGUAUGUCCAUCACAUGAUAAUGCACCUCAAAGGAAUGAAGACUUAAAGGCAAGGAGAAAGACUUGUCACUUUAUUUUUAUUUCCUAGAUCACAGCUAAUUCUAAUGUGUAGAUGG
rnacentral:lncRNA from 1 species